rnacentral:rRNA from 1 species
GAUGAACGCUGGCGGCGUGCCUAACACAUGCAAGUCGAACGGAGUCCAGCCUUUAAGACCUUCGGGUCAAAGAGGGGAAGACUGAGUGGCGGACGGGUGAGUAACACGUGGACAACCUGGCUCAUAGAGGGGGAUAACAGAGAGAAAUUUCUGCUAAUACCGCAUAAGCACACACUGCCGCAUGGCAGAGGGUGAAAAGAGAAUCGCUAUGAGAUGGACCCGCGUCUGAUUAGCCAGUUGGCAGGGUAAGAGCCUACCAAAGCGACGAUCAGUAGCCGAUCUGAGAGGAUGAACGGCCACAUUGGGACUGAGACACGGCCCAAACUCCUACGGGAGGCAGCAGUGGGGGAUAUUGCACAAUGGGGGGAACCCUGAUGCAGCGACGCCGCGUGAGUGAAGAAGUAUUUCGGUAUGUAAAGCUCUAUCAGCAGGGAAGAUAAUGACAGUACCUGAAUAAGAAGCCCCGGCUAAGUACGUG